AAGGAACCGGACGAGGAGGUGUGCAACCUGACCAAGGUGGUCCUAGCGGGCAGCUUCGCUCCAGCGCUCUUCCGGGGAGGCUGGCUCACUUCUGGGACAGUGGCCAAUCCAGGCCUGCGACCACCUGCCGAGCCAGUGACCGACGCCGCCCGACCCUCCCUCGCCCGCCAGGGCCCAACGCCCGCUGGACGAAUCCCUGCUGCACAGCGGGCUCUGGUACCUGCGGUGCCUCAUUUAACGGGGUGCCAGGGCCAGGCGACUCUGGCUGCACUUUCAGCCCCAAGACUUCUGCGGCUUGGACCCCGCUGUGCGAGCUGCUCAGUGAGAUCUGCUGCUGGAGGGGUGGGCUGCAUCUAGGAGGGGUUGAUGGUGUCUCAUCUCUGCAAUCCUAUGGAAUCAGGCUGUCUCAGAGAGGGGAGAUGGGCUGUGGAUACCUGGCUGGAUGGCCUGGACGCAGCCCUCAGCAGCUUGGAGAAGCUGGAGGGCUAGAUAUCCACAGAUGGGCUGGAAGCCCGUGUUCUGUGACACACCUUGUCACAGAAGUCAAGGUGUGUCCUCAAAUCUCCCAGCCCCAGAAGCUGACCCUGAAGGGCUGAGGCCAGCACUGGGAGCUGUUCAAGGAACCCAUGCAAUCCUGCCAUGAGAGCCAGGCCACGCCCCAGUGGACACCAGCCCCACACCCUCGGCAGCUCAACCUCAAGGGCUGUGAGGGCAUUUCUGGUGUUAGCGCCUCUGGCUGCGAGUUCUGCAUCCAACUCACCAAAGGCAAGCGACCCCCACCUGCGGAGCAGGAGCAGCUGGGUGCAUGCUGCAGGGGCUGCCACUGGCUUCCCAGGAGGGGCUGCACCAUGCAGGGAACAGCCGCCAGCGAGGUGUAGCCUUCCAGCAGACAGGCACCGGGUUCGGCAACCACCCCCAGGGCAGUGGCGCCCUUGUCAGGGGCCUCAGCCUCUGUGGUCUUGGUACUCCCUCCACACCCCCCACCCUGCCCUUCCACAAAAGUUCAAGGCCAAGCAGCUCAUCCCACGGAUCCUGGAAGCCCCUAGAAUGUGGCUUGGCUCUUGCCGACCAGGCCCAGCUGUGCCUCCAUCAGGCCUGGCAAUGCUUGCCUGACUUUGGCAUCUACUACCUCAUGGUCAGGCUCAAGAGCAGAAAAGAUCCUGGGACUCGUCAACAAUCAACAGUUCACAUCGACUUGACCAUUGGUGAUGUGGUGACCUGGGUUUCAGCGAUAUGUGGUACUGGGAUGUCAACUGGGAUACCAGCAGGCGGUUAUCCACAUGGCCUUCAGCUCCAUGUCUCCCAUCUGUCCAGUUAUGCACAACCACAUCAGGGGCUACAUUUUCCUGUUGAUCCAGAGUGGGCCCCUGGGGAGGAGCUGGAUGAGGGGAUCUCUUUCUGCAGCUCAGGGGUGGAGGCCUUC
rnacentral:lncRNA from 1 species